GAUGAACGCUGGCGGCGUGCCUAAUACAUGCAAGUCGAGCGAACGGACGAGAAGCUUGCUUCUCUGAUGUUAGCGGCGGACGGGUGAGUAACACGUGGAUAACCUACCUAUAAGACUGGGAUAACUUCGGGAAACCGGAGCUAAUGCCGGAUAAUAUUUUGAACCGCAUGGUUCAAAAGUGAAAGACGGUCUUGCUGUCACUUAUAGAUGGAUCCGCGCUGCAUUAGCUAGUUGGUAAGGUAACGGCUUACCAAGGCAACGAUGCAUAGCCGACCUGAGAGGGUGAUCGGCCACACUGGAACUGAGACACGGUCCAGACUCCUACGGGAGGCAGCAGUAGGGAAUCUUCCGCAAUGGGCGAAAGCCUGACGGAGCAACGCCGCGUGAGUGAUGAAGGUCUUCGGAUCGUAAAACUCUGUUAUUAGGGAAGAACAUAUGUGUAAGUAACUGUGCACAUCUUGACGGUACCUAAUCAGAAAGCCACGGCUAACUACGUGCCAGCAGCCGCGGUAAUACGUAGGUGGCAAGCGUUAUCCGGAAUUAUUGGGCGUAAAGCGCGCGUAGGCGGUUUUUUAAGUCUGAUGUGAAAGCCCACGGCUCAACCGUGGAGGGUCAUUGGAAACUGGAAAACUUGAGUGCAGAAGAGGAAAGUGGAAUUCCAUGUGUAGCGGUGAAAUGCGCAGAGAUAUGGAGGAACACCAGUGGCGAAGGCGACUUUCUGGUCUGUAACUGACGCUGAUGUGCGAAAGCGUGGGGAUCAAACAGGAUUAGAUACCCUGGUAGUCCACGCCGUAAACGAUGAGUGCUAAGUGUUAGGGGGUUUCCGCCCCUUAGUGCUGCAGCUAACGCAUUAAGCACUCCGCCUGGGGAGUACGACCGCAAGGUUGAAACUCAAAGGAAUUGACGGGGACCCGCACAAGCGGUGGAGCAUGUGGUUUAAUUCGAAGCAACGCGAAGAACCUUACCAAAUCUUGACAUCCUUUGACAACUCUAGAGAUAGAGCUUUCCCCUUCGGGGGACAAAGUGACAGGUGGUGCAUGGUUGUCGUCAGCUCGUGUCGUGAGAUGUUGGGUUAAGUCCCGCAACGAGCGCAACCCUUAAGCUUAGUUGCCAUCAUUAAGUUGGGCACUCUAAGUUGACUGCCGGUGACAAACCGGAGGAAGGUGGGGAUGACGUCAAAUCAUCAUGCCCCUUAUGAUUUGGGCUACACACGUGCUACAAUGGACAAUACAAAGGGCAGCGAAACCGUGAGGUCAAGCAAAUCCCAUAAAGUUGUUCUCAGUUCGGAUUGUAGUCUGCAACUCGACUACAUGAAGCUGGAAUCGCUAGUAAUCGUAGAUCAGCAUGCUACGGUGAAUACGUUCCCGGGUCU
rnacentral:rRNA from 1 species